rnacentral:rRNA from 1 species
GAUGAACGCUGGCGGCGUGCUUAACACAUGCAAGUCGAACGGAAAGGCCCAAGCUUGCUUGGGUACUCGAGUGGCGAACGGGUGAGUAACACGUGGGUGAUCUGCCCUGCACUUCGGGAUAAGCCUGGGAAACUGGGUCUAAUACCGGAUAGGACGAUGGUUUGGAUGCCAUUGUGGAAAGUUUUUUCGGUGUGGGAUGAGCUCGCGGCAUAUCAGCUUGUUGGUGGGGUAAUGGCCUACCAAGGCGUCGACGGGUAGCCGGCCUGAGAGGGUGUACGGCCACAUUGGGACUGAGAUACGGCCCAGACUCCUACGGGAGGCAGCAGUGGGGAAUAUUGCACAAUGGGCGCAAGCCUGAUGCAGCGACGCCGCGUGGGGGAUGACGGCCUUCGGGUUGUAAACUCCUUUCGCUAGGGACGAAGCGUUUUUGUGACGGUACCUGGAGAAGAAGCACCGGCUAACUACGUG